rnacentral:rRNA from 1 species
UAAUACGUAGGGGGCAAGCGUUGUCCGGAUUUAUUGGGCGUAAAGAGCGUGUAGGCGGCCUGGUAGGUCAGUUGUGAAAACUCGAGGCUCAACCUCGAGACGCCGAUUGAAACCAUCAGGCUAGAGUCCGGAAGAGGAGAGUGGAAUUCCCGGUGUAGCGGUGAAAUGCGCAGAUAUCGGGAAGAACACCCGUGGCUAAGGCGGCUCUCUAGUACGGUACUGACGCUGAGACGCGAAAGCGUGGGGAGCGAACAGG